UUGUUUGCUUUUUGCAAUAUGCUUUGAGAAUAUAAACACUUUUAACAACUGUCUGAGGGAGCUUACUCACCACCCACCCCACCCCCAAUUUUCCAAAGCACAGAGAAUACAUGAUCCUUUUGACAGCUGUGACAAAUGAAGCUUUAUUUGUCUGCAAGCCUGGCCGUCUGUCUGUGAUCGCUAGGGCCUUGUGAUCCAACUGAGGAUAUACACUCUGCUUUCUAUUCAGAGUCUGAGCAGAUGAAGAAUCUUAAAAGUUCCUUUACAAACAUCAUCGUCAAUGAUCACUAUGGAUCUGGGCAGCUUUG